rnacentral:rRNA from 1 species
UACGUAGGGGGCAAGCGUUGUCCGGAGUUAUUGGGCGUAAAGCGCGCGCAGGCGGCUUGGCGCGCCCGACGUGAAAGCCCCCGGCUUAACCGGGGAGAGUCGUCGGGGACGGCCGGGCUUGAGGGCGGGAGAGGGUGGUGGAAUUCCCGGUGUAGUGGUGAAAUGCGUAGAGAUCGGGAGGAACACCUGUGGCGAAGGCGGCCACCUGGGCCGACCCUGACGCUGAGGCGCGAAGGCGUGGGGAGCGAACGGG